rnacentral:rRNA from 1 species
UACGGAGGGUGCGAGCGUUGUCCGGAAUCACUGGGCGUAAAGGGCGCGUAGGUGGCGCGGGCAGUCAACGGUGAAAGUUCGGGGCUCAACCCUGAAUCGGCCGUCGAUACUCCCGUGCUUGAGCACUGUAGAGGCAGAUGGAAUUCCGGGUGUAGCGGUGGAAUGCGUAGAGAUCCGGAAGAACACCAAUGGCGAAGGCAGCUCUCUGGGACGGUACUGACGCUGAGACGCGAAAGCGUGGGGAGCGAACAGG